UACAGCAUUGAUGACCAAAAUUGAAACACAUACUGAGAAAUGUUGCUCGGCAACACUAGAAAGUACAAAAUGAUAUGCUUGUUUUGGGAUAAAAAAAAAAGAAGAAGAAUAUAAGGCAUUAACACAACAGUUAUUCAACCUCAAAAACAAAAGAAGGUUCGUUUCAUACAUAAUACAGACACCAGUGGCUAAAAUUACCCUAGAAUUUUCGGUUGUUAAAAGUUAAUCAUACAAGUUCCACCAUUGAAGAGAAUGAUAUAAUUUUUUUGAACAAAGUGAAAUUUGGGUGAUUUCACUAGAGUCAUAGCAUAUUCCACAUUUUUUUUUCCUUUCCUUCUUACUCUCUCGUUCCUGAGCAGCUUCCCCCCCUUCUUUCACUUUGCUUGAGUUCUCAAACAUUUAAAAUCUAUCCCCACAAAAUCUCAUCUUAACCUGAUUUCAAACGAAUUCAAAAUCUUCCCUCCUAAUCUAGUACAUCUGCCCCCCUAACCUAAUGUCUCUCAUCCUAACCCAUUAAAAUGAUUAGCAGGACAUCCCAAAGAAAAGAUGGCUAUCAUCUUAGAUUUGGCAAGUCUUGUAAAACCAUGCUCCAUUUGUCUGCUCAACCAUUUAUUCAUAAUUAAAAAAUUCCACCCAUUCAAUUUUUACAAAAUGGCCCUGCCUUCACAGCCUAAAAUAAUGCUUCAUCUCCAGUAGAAAUGUAAAGAAAAAAGAAGUGAAAAGGCAAAAAAGGUACACCUUAU
rnacentral:misc_RNA from 1 species